CAGGCGUGUCCAGGGCGCCUCGCCUCGCCGUCGGGGUGAAUAUGGGGCCCCAUUAGACUUGGCUGUAAACACCGAGGCAGGAGCCCAGCGGCCACGCCAGCCCUUCCGGACGCGAAGGAGUUAAUAAAAGUGAGGUGUUAAAGACGCAGCAUGCCCCCCAGCAGCCAGAGUGGCCGCACCAAGCUUCUUCCCUGGGAACUCCUCUCAGCAUCCCAGCAUCAAGCUACCAGAGCUUGGAACUGUGCCUGAGCCGUGGAACCAAACAAUCUUCUCUUGGUAACUCAAGCUCCUUCUGUCACUCCUGCGCUGGGCUGAUGGAAUGCAGAGGGCGUUUCCCCUGCACUAACCCCCCUCAAAACUGCUGGGAUCCUGAGUUCUUCCAAGAGCUUUCCUGCCCCUCCAUGUCCACCACGAUGCUAGUAUUCGACUUCUCUCUGUAGUCGGGGCUGCAUGGUGCAUAGAGGAGUCCGACUGACAUGGGUUCAAAUUCCAGCUCACCAUAAGACUCUAGGAAAGCUGUCUAACUUCUCUGAGUCUCAGUUUCCCCACUGGAAAAAUAGGGAUGAUGAUAGCUUCUCUGCAGAUUUGUGUGAGGCUUACGACCCUAGCACAGUGUCUAGCACUGAGUAGGUGUUUAACAAAUAAUAGCUACAGUUUCUGCAGGUAGGGCAUCCUGACCGCUUUUUCAUAGUUCAGAAAUAUACUAGAAACAUAAAUAGUAUACAUUUGAAAAUGAUAUUAGCGACCAGAAAUAAACAUCCUUACUGUUGAAGAUGGUGGAGCCUC
rnacentral:lncRNA from 12 species